rnacentral:lncRNA from 1 species
UUCUGUCAGGUCCUGUAAGUAGUAUUUAGAUAUCGAGUGUACGCAAAUGAAUAAAAGGGAAGUUGUAAAACGGAGACUACAGGGACUGGGAAUCUCUAGAGGUUCUAUUUGACAUUAUUGUAGUACGUACGGAUUAGCAGCAACAAGCUUAUGAAGGCAGUUAAUUAGGGAAAAUAAAAAGAGAAAAUGUAAUGGAGUACUUCCUCUGUUUCAUUUUACAUGUUAUUCAUCCAUUUUUUGUCUGAUAAUGAAAGAAUGACACAUUUCUUUUUUGAAAAUUCUUUAAUUAUAUACUCAUUUCAAUUUACGCGUCUACAUUAGUAUUUGAGGUAUUUUGAAACAUAUAUGUAGUUUCUAAAUACAUAAAUUUUUUUAAAAAAUCUUUGUCUAAUUUCAUGAUCAAAAUUAAGAACUUUGACUCUGGUGCUCCAAAUCGAGCCAUGUUUUUGCUAAAUGAUAUGCUCGUACAACCAUAAAUUCUAACGAUACAUUUGGCAUGUGCUAGAAGUCCUUUUGAUGUUCUUUCUUAAGCUCAGAGCGCAGUCAAACACCAGUCAUAUAAAAAAAAGGAAGGAGUAUGUUACUCACCGUACCACUUGGCGAGCUCCUCGUCAGCAGGGGCGAUAGCAACAGCCUUCUUAGCAGGGGCAGCAGCAGCCUUCUUUUUGAAGAGGGCAACAGUUUUGAAGGUAGCAGGUGAAGAUGGAGUAGGAGCAGCUGGCCUUGCUACACCGCUGAACUUGACCGGACUUCCCAACAUUUCUGAGACGUAGAGGGAGGUAGCUGCAGCCAUGGCUAACGGUGGAGCCGGAGGAAGUUGAGGCUGAGAUCAGUUGUUAGAGGAAGAGUUGUUGAUGAUGAGAAUUGAGAAACUGAGGAUGGUAUUUGGAGUGGAGAUAUUCACUAAAUGCUUGAUGUGGUGGAUGUAGACGUGCCAAG